AUGAUAUACAGGGUUUGUCCAAUAAGUAUCCGGACUGAUUUUUUUCUGCUAGUUUGGUAGAUCAGGGAGCAAUCUCUAUUAGCUAGAUCGAUGCGGAAAGUUGUUAUGUAUAAUAAAAAUCUAGGUUCAUUUGUUUUCCACCAUUUGUUUCGUUUAUAUCGUGCUUGAAGUGGAAGCGUAUUUAACGUUCGCGUCGAGAAUCAAAAUGCAACGAAACAUCGAGCAGCGUUGUGCGAUUAAAUUUUGCGUUAAGCUAAAUAAAUCUGCUACGGAGACAUUUAAUAUGAUUCGUCAGGCCUACAAGGAUGAUUCCAUGUCCAGAACGAGUGUUUUUGAGUGGCACAAAAAUUUCAAAGAUGGCCGUGAAGACGUUGAAGACGAGCAACGCGUUGGACGACCGUCGUCGUCCCGAUCCGA